UACAGAGGUGGCAAGCGUUGUUCGGAAUUACUGGGCGUAAAGGGCGCGUAGGCGGCCAUCUAAGUCAGACGUGAAAUCCCCCGGCUUAACCUGGGAACUGCGUCUGAUACUGGAAGGCUUGAGUAUGGGAGAGAGAUGUAGAAUUCCAGGUGUAGCGGUGAAAUGCGUAGAUAUCUGGAGGAAUACCGGUGGCGAAGGCGGCAUCCUGGACCAUUACUGACGCUGAGGCGCGAAAGCUAGGGGAGCAAACGGG
rnacentral:rRNA from 1 species